CGUUCAGCGCACGCAGGCGGUUUGUUAAGUCAGAAUGUGAAAUCCCCGGGCUCAACCUGGGAACUGCAUCUGAUACUGGCAAGCUUGAGUCUCGUAGAGGGGGGUAGAAUUCCAGGUGUAGCGGUGAAAUGCGUAGAGAUCUGGAGGAAUACCGGUGGCGAAGGCGGCCCCCUGGACGAAGACUGACGCUCAGGUGCGAAAGCGUGGGGAGCAAACAGGAUUAGAUACCCUGGUAGUCCACGCCGUAAACGAUGUCGACUUGGAGGUUGUGCCCUUGAGGCGUGGCUUCCGGAGCUAACGCGUUAAGUCGACCGCCUGGGGAGUACGGCCGCAAGGUUAAAACUCAAAUGAAUUGACGGGGGCCCGCACAAGCGGUGGAGCAUGUGGUUUAAUUCGAUGCAACGCGAAGAACCUUACCUGGUCUUGACAUCCACGGAAGUUUUCAGAGAUGAGAAUGUGCCUUCGGGAACCGUGAGACAGGUGCUGCAUGGCUGUCGUCAGCUCGUGUUGUGAAAUGUUGGGUUAAGUCCCGCAACGAGCGCAACCCUUAUCCUUUGUUGCCAGCGGUCCCGCCGGGAACUCAAAGGAGACUGCCAGUGAUAAACUGGAGGAACGUG
rnacentral:rRNA from 1 species